rnacentral:misc_RNA from 1 species
UCUCCGUUGGUGAACCAGCGGAGGGAUCAUUACCGAGUUUACAACUCCCAAACCCCUAUGUGAACGUUACCAAACUGUUGCCUCGGCGAGAAAUUCAUGCCCCGGGCGCGUCGCAGCCCCGGACCAAGGCGCCCGCCGGAGGACCAACCAAAACUCUUUUGUAUGUCCCUCGCGGACUUUUAUAAUUCUGAACCAUCUCGGCGCCCCUAGCGGGCGUUUCGAAAAUGAAUCAAAACUUUCGACAACGGAUCUCUUGGUUCUG